GAUGAACGCUGGCGGCGUGCUUAACACAUGCAAGUCGAGCGAAGCACUUAACUUUGAUUCUUUCGGGAUGAAGAGUUCUGUGACUGAGCGGCGGACGGGUGAGUAACGCGUGGGUAACCUGCCUCAUACAGGGGGAUAACAGUUAGAAAUGGCUGCUAAUACCGCAUAAGACCACAGCACCGCAUGGUGCAGGGGUAAAAACUCCGGUGGUAUGAGAUGGACCCGCGUCUGAUUAGCUAGUUGGUGGGUAACGGCCUACCAAGGCGACGAUCAGUAGCCGACCUGAGAGGGUGACCGGCACAUUGGGACUGAGACACGGCCCAAAACUCCUACGGGAGGCAGCAGUGGGGAAUAUUGCACAAUGGGGGAAACCCUGAUGCAGCGACGCCGCGUGAGCGAAGAAGGCC
rnacentral:rRNA from 1 species